rnacentral:piRNA from 1 species
AACAAAUGGAAGCCUCUCGUGUGA